rnacentral:rRNA from 1 species
UACGUAGGCGGCAAGCGUUGUCCGGAUUUACUGGGCGUAAAGGAUGCGUAGGCGGACAUUUAAGUCAGAUGUGAAAUACCCGAGCUUAACUUGGGUGCUGCAUUUGAAACUGGGUGUCUAGAGUGCAGGAGAGGUAAGUGGAAUUCCUAGUGUAGCGGUGAAAUGCGUAGAGAUUAGGAAGAACACCAGCGGCGAAGGCGACUUACUGGACUGUAACUGACGCUGAGGCAUGAAAGCGUGGGGAGCAAACAGG